AUUGAACGCUGGCGGCAUGCCUUACACAUGCAAGUCGAACGGUAACAGGUUAAGCUGACGCGUGGCGAACGGGUGAGUAAUACAUCGGAACGUGCCCAGUAGUGGGGGAUAGCCCGGCGAAAGCCGGAUUAAUACCGCAUACGACCUAAGGGUGAAAGGGGGGGAUCGCAAGACCUCUCGCUAUUGGAGCGGCCGAUGUCAGAUUAGCUAGUUGGUGGGGUAAAAGCUCACCAAGGCGACGAUCUGUAGCUGGUCUGAGAGGACGACCAGCCACACUGGGACGGAAACACGCCCCAGACCCCUCGGGGAGGCAGCAGUGGGGAUUUUUGAACAAGGGCCGCAGGCCUGACCCAGCCAUGCCGCGGGGGGAAAGAAGGCUUGCGGGUUGAAACCCGUUUUUGUGGGGAAAAAAAUCUUUUGGGUUAAUCCCUCGGGGGAAUGAGGGUACCAAAAGAAAAAGCACCGCCUAACUACGU
rnacentral:rRNA from 1 species